AUUGAACGCUGGCGGCAUGCUUUACACAUGCAAGUCGAACGGUAACAGGCCGCAAGGUGCUGACGAGUGGCGCACGGGUGAGUAAUGCAUCGGAACGUGCCCAGUCGUGGGGGAUAACUACUCGAAAGAGUAGCUAAUACCGCAUACGAUCUAUGGAUGAAAGCGGGGGACCGUAAGGCCUCGCGCGAUUGGAGCGGCCGAUGUCAGAUUAGGUAGUUGGUGGGGUAAAGGCUCACCAAGCCAACGAUCUGUAGCUGGUCUGAGAGGACAACCAGCCACACUGGGACUGAGACACGGCCCAGACUCCUACGGGAGGCAGCAGUGGGGAAUUUUGGACAAAGGGCGCAAGCCUGAUCCAGCAAUGCCGCGUGCAGGAAGAAGGCCUUCGGGUUGUAAACUGCUUUUGUACGGAACGAAACGGCUCUGGUUAAUACCCGGGGCUAAUGACGGUACCGUAAGAAUAAGCACCGGCUAACUACGUG
rnacentral:rRNA from 1 species